rnacentral:misc_RNA from 1 species
UCAAACUUGGUCAUUUAGAGGAAGUAAAAGUCGUAACAAGGUUUCCGUAGGUGAACCUGCGGAAGGAUCAUUAUUGAACUAUCCAAUACCAACCCUUUCCAUUGCCUAAUGAUUAUGAACCUUUUGGCGAGGCCCCAAGCUUUCCUCCUGAAGUUAUCUUGUCAUAGCACAGAGAGAAGAGAUUGUGUGCCUCGCCAGAGACCAGCUUUCGAUUGUUUGGAUAGUUAGCCCACCUGUUGGUCUUCGGAUCCUUCGUUACCCCUUUGGGUUUAAGCGACAGGAAGGGCUGGCUUUUUCAGGCAUUAGAAUUCGCGGUCGGCUUGUUCCGGGGGCUUAUGCUGUACUAUGUCAGCAAAACAAAUUUAAUAAAAAAAAACUUUUAACAACGGAUCUCUUGGCUCUCCCAUCGAUGAAGAACGCAGC